rnacentral:rRNA from 1 species
GGUUAUUGGGCCGCGUGCUAGAAGUAGCGGCGGACGGGUGAGUAACACGUGGGUAACCUGCCCAUAAGACUGGGAUAACUCCGGGAAACCGGGGCUAAUACCGGAUAACAUUUUGAACCGCAUGGUUCGAAAUUGAAAGGCGGCUUCGGCUGUCACUUAGGAUGGACCCGCGUCGCAUUAGCUAGUUGGUGAGGUAACGGCUCACCAAGGCAACGAUGCGUAGCCGACCUGAGAGGGUGAUCGGCCACACUGGGACUGAGACACGGCCCAGACUCCUACGGGAGGCAGCAGUAGGGAAUCUUCCGCAAUGGACGAAAGUCUGACGGAGCAACGCGCGUGAGUGAUGAAGGCUUUCGGGUCGUAAAACUCUGUGUUAGGGAAGAACAAGUGCUAGUUGAAUAAGCUGGCACCUUGACGGUACCUAACCAGAAAGCCACGGCUAACUACGUGCCAGCAGCCGCGGUAAUACGUAGGUGGCAAGCGUUAUCCGGAAUUAUUGGGCGUAAAGCGCGCGCAGGUGGUUUCUUAAGUCUGAUGUGAAAGCCCACGGCUCAACCGUGGAGGGUCAUUGGAAACUGGGAGACUUGAGUGCAGAAGAGGAAAGUGGAAUUCCAUGUGUAGCGGUGAAAUGCGUAGAGAUAUGGAGGAACACCAGUGGCGAAGGCGACUUUCUGGCUGUAACUGACACUGAGGCGCGAAAGCGUGGGAGCAAACAGGAUUAGAUACCCUGGUAGUCCACGCCGUAAACGAUGAGUGCUAAGUGUUAGAGGGUUUCCGCCCUUUAGUGCUGAAGUUAACGCAUUAAGCACUCCGCCUGGGGAGUACGGCCGCAAGGCUGAAACUCAAGGAAUUGACGGGGGCCCGCACAAGCGGUGGAGCAUGUGUUUAAUUCGAAGCAACGCGAAGAACCUUACCAGGUCUUGACCUCUGACACCCUAGAGAUAGGGCUUCUCCUUCGGGAGCAGAGUGACAGGUGGUGCAUGGUUGUCGUCAGCUCGUGUCGUGAGAUGUGGUUAGUCCCGCACGAGCGCAACCCUUGAUCU